AGAACUGGACAUGGCGGCUCCAUUCAGCACCGGCGGCAACUUCUCUGAACUGUCAGAAUGAGAACGGCUGAGAGUUAUUUCUGUAUUUUAAAACAUGAUGAACAGCAGCUUCCAGAACAUCAGAAACUUCCUGAUCAUAAGUGACAGUAUGUUCUGCGGAGCGUUAAUGAACCGAUGCUGCUUGUUUGCCUGCAGGAUACAGAGGAUCAGCUGGUUACCUGCUCACCAGGUAAAGCUCAGAAAGCUGGUCCUUCAGCUCCGACAGGAUGGAGAUGGACGAGCGACCGCCGGCGUUCAGCAGCAAACCGAAAAACCU